ACAAAGGCUCUUUUCAGAGCCACCCACAAAAUCAUAAAAGAGCUCG
rfam:Acanthisitta chloris contig16368, whole genome shotgun sequence.